UACGGGGGGGAGCAAGCGUUGUUCGGAUUUACUGGGCGUAAAGGGCGCGUAGGCGGCGCAACAAGUCACUUGUGAAAUCUCCGGGCUUAACUCGGAAAGGUCAAGUGAUACUGUUGUGCUAGAGUGCGGAAGGGGCAACUGGAAUUCUCGGUGUAGCGGUGAAAUGCGUAGAUAUCGAGAGGAACACCUGCGGCGAAGGCGGGUUGCUGGGCCGACACUGACGCUGAUGCGCGAAAGCCAGGGGAGCGAACGGG
rnacentral:rRNA from 1 species